rnacentral:lncRNA from 1 species
GUUUUCACAUCUAACACACAACCGUUCCUUGACGUUGGCUGAGUCUCACUCUCACGUGGUGGCCCGAACGUGAGGUGCACUCAAAUCAUACCUUAGGAGAUAUUUCACCCAACAUCUCCCCCUCGGAGGUGAAUAUAUAAUUGAGUUACCAUGCUCCUCUCGUAGGCAGUCCACGAAAACCCCCACCACUGCAGUGACCGUGAGGUGCAUUCAAAUCUUACCUCAGGAGAUACUUCAUCCAACAUCUCCCCCCGGAGGUAAAUAUAUAAUUGGGUUACCGUGCCCCUCUCAUAGGCAGUCCACAAAAACCCCUACCACUACAGUGACUGUUUAAUAUACCACCAGACCCAUAAAAAUUCCAGUAGCAUAAUAUAACGAAUAAAAUGUAAUCCAGUCUAUCGAGACCAAUCCAAAACUAUUCAUAUAUUUCAUGCCAACCCCAAAAAUUUAGCCAUCAUGCUACCAUAGUGUCAUAAGCCACAAUUUCAAUAACAUAUAAAAUCAUAAAUUUCAACAUAGUCUCAA